ensembl:lncRNA
CUGUUUUUGUUUAAUCAAAAACAGUUGUACAUUAUAUGAUUUUAAAUCAGUCACUUCAAACAGUUGAUAAUAUAUGUCUGUAGAUGCAGCAGGUCACCAACAAAGCAUCACAACACAUCUUACCAGCACAACAGUUGACCAGUUUUUACCGGAAAUGUACAGUAACUUUCAGACGAGGGUAUGGAGAGGUAGCAGGAACUACAGACCCAUCUGGUGUGAUGAACAGGAGAAAAUGUGGCCUGGAUCUGGGAUAUUGGCGGUACCACUGUACAUUGAAGAUAUUGCCAUCAUAUUUACAGGAGAGAUUGACAUUCCUUCCCUCCUGAACCAGCUCUUCAGUAGUCAAAGGAUUUAUUGAAUCCCCCAAACUGUAUUCUGUAACAAAGUUGAGACAAAUUAAAUGUAAAUAGUUAUGGUAGUUAUAAAAUGCAUACUCAUGUCAUUAAAAUUGAUAUGGUACAAAAAUAUUUUACCAGAAUACACAUGAAUGAUUGAAAUUUCACUUUUAAUAUAAAAUACAUUAAAAAGAUUAGAACAGC